CAAGUUAACUCAUUAACUACGAAGCUUGAUUGUUACAAACAGCUAGCACCCUUUUAUGCGGCGAGAUAUCGUUAGGUUAUUUAUAACUACUGUACUUUUCUACCCAUUUUCUCAAUCCUUUUUAAACCCUUUUAGACUUUUACUCCUCUUAACCUUAAAAACACCAACACAACACAUUGUGCAUGCCCACAUGGAUACCAACCUCAACACUACAUUCACAAACGUUAACACCACUUACAAUCACGAGACCAUGACCACAGAUCAACAACACAACAUCAUCCUCCACGAUCAUCACCAAAUUCCAAUGGAUGUUGGAAUUUGGUCCAAUCACCACCACCCUUUUCACCCACAACCCUCUUCCUCCUCUUCAACUAAUUUCCUAACCGACGUCUUGGGAAUCCAGUUUGAAGAAGACGAAGAGGAAGAGCUCGGAGCGAUGAAGGAGAUGAUGUACCAGAUGGCAGCGAUGCAACCGGUCGACAUAGACCCUGCCACCGUCAGAAAACCCAAGAGGCGAAACGUCCGCAUAAGUGAUGACCCUCAGAGUGUGGCUGCACGUCAUCGAAGAGAGAAGAUCAGUGAGAAAAUCCGUAUCCUUCAAAGACUUGUCCCUGGUGGAACCAAAAUGGACACUGCUUCCAUGCUUGACGAAGCCAUUCGCUAUGUCAAGUUCUUGAAGCGACAAAUCAGGUUCCUUCAAUCAACACCACAGAUUCACUCCGUUAAUGCCACUGCUCCCAACUCCGAUUGCCCUUUUCCACCAACUACAUUGCACGCUUCCACCUCCGUCAACCUGCCUCUUGGAAUCCAAUUCAACGCCGACCACCUUCAACAUUCAUCGGGGGACAAUGAAAAUGAGGAAAGGAUUCAAGUGUAAGAGCCUGAUGCAGUAUUAUAUGCACCUUCAAUAUAUUAAAGUUUUUUUUACAACAAAGUAUAUAGCUUGUGGGAAAAGGUUUGUUUGGAUAUUCUUCACCAAAGUGACUGAGGAAUAAUAAAUCAUAACGCUUGGUUUGGAUUAUAUCUUAUAAGAAUUAUAUCUUAUAUGAGUUGGUAGAAAAGUUUGUUUGG